rnacentral:rRNA from 1 species
UACAGAGGGUGCAAGCGUUAAUCGGAGUUACUGGGCGUAAAGGGCGCGUAGGUGGUUAUGUAAGUGAGAUGUGAAAUCCCUGGGCUUAACCUAGGAACUGCAUCUUAUACUGCAUAACUGGAGUACUGUAGAGGGUAGUGGAAUUUCCGGUGUAGCGGUGAAAUGCGUAGAGAUCGGAAGGAACACCAGUGGCGAAGGCGGCUACCUGGACAGAUACUGACACUGAGGCGCGAGAGCGUGGGGAGCAAACAGG